CCAGGAGUUCAGGUCCCUGCACUGGACUCUUCCUGUGGCCACCACACAGCAGAUGAGGCAGUCACAAACAAGGAGGAACACGCAGUAUGACGAUUGUGAAGUCUGUAACCUCUGAGUACUUCAGCCAGUGAAGAACAAGGAGAGACAAUGUGGUUGGGAAGUUAGGAUAAAAAGAGGCUUGUGCCUCCAGUACUCUAAGAGACCCUGCAGGGG
rnacentral:lncRNA from 1 species